rnacentral:rRNA from 1 species
ACGGGUGAGUAACACGUAGGCAACCUGCCCUCAAGCUUGGGACAACUACCGGAAACGGUAGCUAAUACCGAAUACUUGUUUUCUUCGCCUGAAGAAAACUGGAGAGACGGAGCAAUCUGUCACUUGAGGAUGGGCCUGCGGCGCAUUAGCUAGUUGGUGAGGUAACGGCUCACCAAGGCGACGAUGCGUAGCCGACCUGAGAGGGUGAUCGGCCACACUGGGACUGAGACACGGCCCAGACUCCUACGGGAGGCAGCAGUAGGGAAUCUUCCGCAAUGGGCGAAAGCCUGACGGAGCAAUGCCGCGUGAGUGAUGAAGGUUUUCGGAUCGUAAAGCUCUGUUGCCAGGGAAGAACGCUCAGGAGAGUAACUGCUCCUGAGGUGACGGUACCUGAGAAGAAAGCCCCGGCUAACUACGUGCCAGCAGCCGCGGUAAUACGUAGGGGGCAAGCGUUGUCCGGAAUUAUUGGGCGUAAAGCGCGCGCAGGCGGUCAUUUAAGUCUGGUGUUUAAUCCCGGGGCUCAACCCCGGAUCGCACUGGAAACUGGGUGACUUGAGUGCAGAAGAGGAGAGUGGAAUUC